rnacentral:rRNA from 1 species
GUGCCACAGCUGCGGUAAUACGGAGGGUGCAAGCGUUAAUCGGAAUUACUGGGCGUAAAGCGCACGCAGGCGGUCUGACAAGUCGGAUGUGAAAUCCCCGGGCUCAACCCGGGAACUGCAUUCGAAACUGUCAGGCUGGAGUCUUGUAGAGGGGGGUAGAAUUCCAGGUGUAGCGGUGAAAUGCGUAGAGAUCUGGAGGAAUACCGGUGGCGAAGGCGGCCCCCUGGACAAAGACUGACGCUCAGGUGCGAAAGCGUGGGGAGCAAACAGGAUUAGAUACCCUGGUAGUCCACGCUGUAAACGAUGUCGACUUGGAGGUUGUGCCCUUGAGGCGUGGCUUCCGGAGCUAACGCGUUAAGUCGACCGCCUGGGGAGUACGGCCGCAAGGUUAAAACUCAAAUGAAUUGACGGGGCCGCACAAGCGGUGGAGCAUGUGGUUAAUUCGAUGCAACGCGAAGAACCUUACCUGGUCUUGACAUCCACAGUAAGUUUUCAGAGAUGAGAACGUGCCUUCGGGAACUGUGAGACAGGU